AGGAUAAACGCUGGCGGCGUGCCUAACACAUGCAAGUCGAACGACCUUGUUGUCGCAAGAGAACGAGGGAGUGGCGGACGGGUGAGUAACACGUGGGUGACCUACCCUUUGGUGAGGAAUACCGGCGAGAAAUCGCCGACAAGACCGCAUAGGCUCUCUCACGAGAGCAAAGCUUCGCGCAAGCGAGGCGCCAGAGGAUGGGCCUGCGUCCGAUUAGCUUGUUGGUGGGGUAAUGGCCUACCAAGGCGACGAUCGGUAGCUAGUCUGAGAGGACGAACAGCCACACUGGGAUUGAGAACGGCCCAGACUCUUACGGGAGGCAGCAGUGAGGAAUUUUCGGCAAUGGGCGCAAGCCUGACCGAGCAACGCCGCGUGCAGGAGGAAGCUCUUCGGAGUGUAAACUGCUUUUAUCGGGGAAGAGAACAGACGGUACCCGAUGAAGAAGUCCCGGCUAACUACGUGCCAGCAGCCGC
rnacentral:rRNA from 1 species